rnacentral:rRNA from 1 species
GUGUGAUUCGUCACACUAUCAUUAACUGAAUCCAUAGGUUAAUGAGGCGAACCGGGGGAACUGAAACAUCUAAGUACCCCGAGGAAAAGAAAUCAACCGAGAUUCCCCCAGUAGCGGCGAGCGAACGGGGAGGAGCCCAGAGCCUGAAUCAGCAUGUGUGUUAGUGGAAGCGUCUGGAAAGGCGCGCGAUACAGGGUGACAGCCCCGUACACAAAAGCGCAUGUGCUGUGAGCUCGAUGAGUAGGGCGGGACACGUGGUAUCCUGUCUGAAUAUGGGGGGACCAUCCUCCAAGGCUAAAUACUCCUGACUGACCGAUAGUGAACCAGUACCGUGAGGGAAAGGCGAAAAGAACCCCGGCGAGGGGAGUGAAAAAGAACCUGAAACCGUGUACGUACAAGCAGUGGGAGCACCCUUUGGGGUGUGACUGCGUACCUUUUGUAUAAUGGGUCAGCGACUUAUAUUCUGUAGCAAGGUUAACCGUAUAGGGGAGCCGCAGGGAAACCGAGUCUUAAUUGGGCGUUAAGUUGCAGGGUAUAGACCCGAAACCCGGUGAUCUAGCCAUGGGCAGGUUGAAGGUUGGGUAACACUAACUGGAGGACCGAACCGACUAAUGUUGAAAAAUUAGCGGAUGACCUGUGGCUGGGGGUGAAAGGCCAAUCAAACCGGGAGAUAGCUGGUUCUCCCCGAAAGCUAUUUAGGUAGCGCCUCGUGAAUUCAUCUCCGGGGGUAGAGCACUGUUUCGGCUAGGGGGCCAUCCCGGCUUACCAACCCGAUGCAAACUGCGAAUACCGGAGAAUGUUAUCACGGGAGACACACGGCGGGUGCUAACGUCCGUCGUGAAGAGGGAAACAACCCAGACCGCCAGCUAAGGUCCCAAAGUCAUGGUUAAGUGGGAAACGAUGUGGGAAGGCCCAGACAGCCAGGAUGUUGGCUUAGAAGCAGCCAUCAUUUAAAGAAAGCGUAAUAGCUCACUGGUCGAGUCGGCCUGCGCGGAAGAUGUAACGGGGCUAAACCAUGCACCGAAGCUGCGGCAGCGAUGCUUAUGCGUUGUUGGGUAGGGGAGCGUUCUGUAAGCCUGCGAAGGUGGCCUGUGAGGGUUGCUGGAGGUAUCAGAAGUGCGAAUGCUGACAUAAGUAACGAUAAAGCGGGUGAAAAGCCCGCUCGCCGGAAGACCAAGGGUUCCUGUCCAACGUUAAUCGGGGCAGGGUGAGUCGACCCCUAAGGCGAGGCCGAAAGGCGUAGUCGAUGGGAAACGGGUUAAUAUUCCCGUACUUGGUGUUACUGCGAAGGGGGGACGGAGAAGGCUAUGUUGGCCGGGCGACGGUUGUCCCGGUUUAAGCGUGUAGGUGUGUGUUCCAGGUAAAUCCGGUUCACUUUAACACUGAGGCGUGACGACGAGGCACUACGGUGCUGAAGCAACAAAUGCCCUGCUUCCAGGAAAAGCCUCUAAGCAUCAGGUAACAUCAAAUCGUACCCCAAACCGACACAGGUGGUCAGGUAGAGAAUACCAAGGCGCUUGAGAGAACUCGGGUGAAGGAACUAGGCAAAAUGGUGCCGUAACUUCGGGAGAAGGCACGCUGACACGUAGGUGAAGUGAUUUACUCAUGGAGCUGAAGUCAGUCGAAGAUACCAGCUGGCUGCAACUGUUUAUUAAAAACACAGCACUGUGCAAACACGAAAGUGGACGUAUACGGUGUGACGCCUGCCCGGUGCCGGAAGGUUAAUUGAUGGGGUCAGCGCAAGCGAAGCUCCUGAUCGAAGCCCCGGUAAACGGCGGCCGUAACUAUAACGGUCCUAAGGUAGCGAAAUUCCUUGUCGGGUAAGUUCCGACCUGCACGAAUGGCGUAAUGAUGGCCAGGCUGUCUCCACCCGAGACUCAGUGAAAUUGAACUCGCUGUGAAGAUGCAGUGUACCCGCGGCAAGACGGAAAGACCCCGUGAACCUUUACUAUAGCUUGACACUGAACAUUGAGCCUUGAUGUGUAG